GAGGAGUUGCAGUGGACUCAUCAAUCUCCUUAAGCUCCUUGUCAAGGACAUAUUCUUUGUCCUCGUAGCGGGUAAUCAUCCUGAUGUUUCUGAUCCACUCAUUGAAGUUGGAUCCAUCAAUGGUGACUUUCCCACACAAGUUCAUAAGGGUAAACGAACCAUUAGGAUUAGAGCCAGAAGCAGCAUUGUUAGAAGAUAUCUGAAAGAAGAGAACAAGAUUAGUUUAGAUAUUAAGAAGUCCUUAAUAAAACACCCAAAUGUAAUAUUAAGGCUAGGAUCCAAUCACAAUAUAAUAUAACUUAGAAGAGGUAUGCCGUAAUCUAAGCUAUAUCAUAUUUGAAAGGUAGGUGAAUGACGAUUCACCAAUUUCCACCACGAAAACCGCAAUAUUUUAGUAUUAGGUUUUUGAAUGGUUCUUAGAAAUUCCUAGAUUCUUUGAGAUUCAAUGAACUUUUCAAAGGCAUGUUUCAAUCUCGAGUGUGCCCUCCAAGUUUUGUGACUGGGAUACCGAGGAUCACAAAACGAGGUGUGAAGUAACCAUGCAAAUCACUUGGUACCCUUAAAGUUUAUCACUCAAUCGAUGUGCCGGUUAACCACACACGCUCCAUCGAUACUAUAAUAAACCCUAAGUCACCCUUUACCUACCUUGUUAAGUCCAAGUUAGUGUGCCGGUUAACCACACACGCUCCACCAACGACUUAAUCAAAGUGUAAAGUGUAAUUUCAUGGAAUAGCACCUUAUUCACAUUUUUCCUAAAGUAACUAAGAUUGGGAAUUUAAUAAAACAUUUAGUUACUUUAUAAUAUUCAUCAUACUUUGAAUGAGAAUUAAUAAGUCCUUGUCUUACCCGUUCGGCUAACGACCCUCCACCGAUCAAGCAAGCGGUGGGUGAGAGUGGACACCCAUUAAGUCACCAUUUUAUAGGCAACAACCUUAUACCCACCUUAUAGACCGGCUUCGUGAAUGAGGCGUACUAGCGGUAAGACGACUUUGUUCUUAUACAUAUAUAUAUAAUUAUUAAAUCAUAAUAAUAUAAGUAUAAGGGUUGAAUUUUAACUUUUAAAAUUCUAGGGGUUGGAACUAAAGUUUUAACUUAACUUUACUUGUUCCAAAACUUGAGGGCAAGUUUUGUAAACUUUCAAAACUUUUCAUUUCUUGUAACUUAUGAGUUUAAUAGAGUAAUAAAAUGAGGACUUUUCAUUUUUCCUAACUCUUGUGUUCUUUUAAUGGUUUUUAAUCCAAGAGACUUUUGGUUUUCCAUAACUUGAGGACAAGUUAUGGACUCCAUUAAAACACAUUAUGAUCAUGAAUUAAUCUACCACAUAGGUUACAAAUAAUUCCUAUGAUCAUCUAAACAUCAUAAGAACAAGAAUAUGAAUAUGAACACUUUCAAGAAUCAAAAUCACAUUUAAUCUUUGUAAUUUUGAUAACUAGUUGUUGUAAAUGAGUUAGAAAAGACAUUACACCUUCUAAAAUAAGUUUUCAAGUACCAAAACAUUUUAGGGUAAUGAUUCUAAUCCAUUUCCAGCAACUCAAGUCGAAAUUCUGCACUCUGUCGACCCUACUCGCCGAGUGCAUAAACCUACUCGCCGAGUAGGUUGAAGAUACACAUGAACUCGACGAGUCCUCCCCAUGGACUCGCCGAGUCCAUCAGUCAGACAGCANAGUAAGUGACCGACUCGGCGAGUCGGCUAAGGGGACUCGGCGAGUCUGGUCUGAACGAGGAAAACCCUAAUCCCGGGAGUUGUAUCCUAUAUAAAGGGUGUUAUGUCCCUCCCUCAGCCUCCAUAUCAUCCUAGAGAACCUGUAAACCCUAGAUUUCGUGUGAGCUUCCAUCAUUUGAGAGAAAUAGCUUUGGAGGAAGGAAACUUUGGAAAGGAACUUGAAGAUCAAGAAGGUUGCUUCAAAGGAGAGGUGUAGAUCCGAGAUCUACUUCAGUUUGUGUUCAUCUUGGAGGUAAUAAGCUGCUAUUUUCCCUCCUUUGCAUCUAGAUCUAUUUUUGUUAUGAGAUUUGGGGGUUUUAUGGUUGUUUGAGACCCAAUUCGAGUUUGGGGCUUAGAUAUGUUGUUGCCACUUCAGAUCUAGUGUUGGGAUGGUCCAAUAUGUCGUAAAGCAUCAGAAGAUGAGUAGUUGGUGAAGCCUUUUUGUCCUUAAACCUAGCCCUAGAGUGUUUUGAGCCUAGAUCUCUUUAGUUAUAUGUAAAGUUUGCAACUUUACGUGAGGAUUGAGCUUUGGAACUAUUAAUCUAUGAUUUGGAGCCCCUGCAUGGCUUGAAAAGCCACUAUAUGGAUUAAGAACUGGAGCGACUCGGGGAGUCACAUGGGUGGACUCGGCGAGUUGGAUGAAGUUGGGCAGGAACUCGGCGAGUUGGAAGAACAACUCGGCGAGUCUGUUGAAGAUUGCCUUGGACUCGGCGAGUCAAGUCGCGAAAUCCCAAACCCUUCGAGUUGAGACUCGAAUCAGUGAGUCGAGUGGAGGCUCGGGGGGGGGGGNUCGGUGAGUAGGGUUGACCUGGAAUGUUGACCUUGACCAGGACUUUGACUUUGACCAGACUUGACUUGGUUGACUGUCGGGGGUCAGUUAGACUAAGUGUUGCNCGACUUUGACCCGAGUUGAAAUAGUGGACUUUCGGGGGACAGUUAGACUAAGUGUUGCAUUGAUAUUGGUAGCUCGGGGAGCUAGUGGAGCAGGAGUUCAGAGAGUUGCCGGGCAACAACUAGAGGGGCUAUCAGCAAGUUCAGAAAGUGAAGGUGAGUUUCCCUUUGUGUGAAUGGGUCUAAGGCUACAGUGUCGGCCCAUGUAGUUAUGAGUAGAAGACCUGGGGGUUAGCCCUAGGUAUAGUAUGCUAGUAUGAUAUUCAGGACGAGGUCCAAUGAUAGCUGGUGGGUUCCCAAGGAAUGAUUUAUAUGAUAGUUUACACUUGUUGUCUGUGUGAUACUUGUAUGUGCCUGGUAGGGAGGUGAGUGUGGGCGAGGCCCCAUAAAUCACCAAUAGCAGAGUGUGGAUGGUGUUCCACAUCUCAUUAGGAGCAGAUCAGGGGCGAGGCCCAAGUUAGGGAAUGAGUGAGUGUAGGCUAGGCCCGUAUCUCACUAUUAGUAGGAGCAUGGACGGGGUUCCAUGACUCAUCAGUAGCAGGACAAGGGCGCGGCCCAGGAUAGCCGAGGCCUUAGGACAGGAUCCGUUAGUAUAUGUUUAGCUUAUUUGAUGUGAUAUGUUUAUGUGCUAUUAUAUGUUAGCGGGCGAGGCCUAGUGACAGGCGAGGCCUAAGUGAAAUAGAUUUGUAUCCGAGCGGGGCUCGAAGCCGGGCGAGGCCUGGAGCGACGGGGCCAUUGUAGCGGGCGAGGCCCAGAAUAGUGGGCAUUGCCCAGUAUGUGUAGUAUGUGGUUAUGUAUGGUAUGUGGUAGGGUGGAGAACUCACUAAGCUUCGUGCUUACGGUUUUCAGUUUUGCUUUCAGGUACUUCCGGUAGCGGAGGGAAGAGCUCGGGGUGAUCGCAUGGUACACACCAUAGAUUAGAUAGCCUGGGAAUGUUUUACUCUGAUAACGAACAUGUGUUUUUGGAAAUUAAUACUCUGAUUAUGUUUUGGAUUGAUGAUUUUGCUUUAAGUAAUGUUUUAUUAAAAGAAAUUUUUAGUCUUGAAUUUUGGGAUGUUACAAGUUGUAUCAGAGCCUUAGUUUGAGGGAUUCGGACGUACUCUCGGGUGCAUCUGAACUUAAACUAAGGAAUUGGUAUGGAAGUUUUCAAAAUGCAAAUACAGUUUUGUAAAAAGAGUUUGAGAAACAAAAACAGUUUUAGCAAAGCAAAAAGAAUUCAGAAAGAAAAGAAGUUUGAAAAGAAAAAAAGGGUGUGGUGCAUGCAAUCAGCCGAGCUCAAGUAAGUACCCUAAAAUACCCAUACAAGUUUAUGUUAUGAUUAUCAGUUAGUUGAACAGCAUGCUAGAUUAGGACUAAGGAUGCCUUAUGUGCCUAUUAUAUGUGCUUGAGCUGCAUGAUAGUGCUAAUUAGACAGUAGUAAGACAGCCUGUUUAGGUUAUGCCUGAGUUUUUGAGUUUGUGUUGCGUGCUAGUACAGAUUCUUGCUAUGUCGAUAUGAUUGCUUGAGUAUGUUAUGGUUAGAUUUUCCCUUGUCUGAAUGCAGCUUGCUUUGUGCAUUGUGGGAUUCUAAGUGAUGUGAGUUAGCCAUUAGUUGAAUACGCCACGUCACAUGUAAUCAGGUUGAAUAAUCUCAGAGUACUGGAUUUGGCCCUAUUAUGCAACUCUUGUCUGAGUCCAACCAUGGUUGGGACGAGUCUUUUACUCGAAGGAUUAUCCAAGCCUCGUCACAUGUGAUGGUAUUCAGGUGAUGGAUAAUUGGCAUCACAAGGAGGCCUUCAGCAGCUGAGGACUGGUUUGAGUUGAGUCGGACGUUCCCUAGGGUAAGCCUAGGAUGAGGUAGUACUGGGAUAAGUAGUAGUGGAGAAGGGACCUGGUGGAGUCGAAGCAAUUCUUAGGGAAAUUACGGAUAGAUGUGGAAGGUAGUAUAGGCACGUACUACUGAAAGCAGAGGAUCCGUACUCGAUUCGGGAAAGGCCGAGACAAGAUCGGGAACCUGGUAGUGCGUGUGUUUGGUCUCGUAGCAAUGAUAAGUAUUCCGAUAGUGGUUGUGGCAUAUUUCCAGCAUGGUGACGUUGCGAGAGAGGCCAGUGGGCGGAUCAGGCACCAGAGAGGGAUGAUGCUUGUGUUCAGGGGCCGAGCAGCUCGAGGAGCGAAUGAGGGAGUUGAUAUUAGUGGAGGUUACGCGUAGUAUUCUAGAUCAGGCUCCUGUGAUCUUUGGCACGGUCAAGGAGGGUAUACUAGAAAUUUUGGAUGAGAGGCUGGGAGCCUUCCGUACCGAGAUGAUGGCUUUGAUGGGAGUGCAUACCUUGAGAUUUCGAGAGUUCAGGGCUUGCGGGGCACCAGAUUAGCAUGGGGCUAGGGACCCCAUCGCUAGUAGCAGAUGGUUGGCUGAUGUAGCCAAUGCAUUCCGUACGAGCCGGUGUCCUGAGGAGGAAAAGGUCAGACUCGCCUCCUGUCUUCUGAAGGACAGAGCGAGGGAUUGGUGGGAGGAGAUGGGUCAUGCUUUGGGGAUGAUGCCGCAUUGGACGCGAUGACAUGGAGCGAUUUCUCGACCAGGUUCAGGGCGGAGUUUUCGCCGAUUAUUGAGAUGCAGCAAUUGGCAUGGGAGUUUCAGGAUUUGACGUAGACCACUGAGACUGUGGCAGAGAUCAUCGCCGAGUUCAGGGAGAGGGCUCUUCUUGUACCGCAGUACGUCGCGGAUAAGGAUAUGAAGAAGGCCCGAUACCAUGAGAUGUUGAGGGAUGACAUCAGGCAGUUUGUGAGCAGGUCCAACUGCAAAACGUUGGAGGAUAUGAUCGCGCGAGCUAGAGAGAGAGACUGAUUUGGAGAAGAUCCGGAAGAGGAAGCCGGAUGAGGUUUAGGCAGCCACGGGCUCGGGUAAAAGGCCCAAGGGGUCGAAUUCGAGAUCGAGGGAUUAUCUGGACCGCAGCCGGUGCGGGAAGUGUGGCAGGAUGCAUGGGUGCGUGUGCAGGAGUGGUAGCGGUCGUGAGUCUGGCUGCUUCAAGUGUGGUCGGACUGGUCAUUUUAGCAGAGAUUGUACUGUUACCACCACAUAGGGAUCAGGCUUGAUAUGUUUUCACUGCAAUCAGCGGGGCCACAAGAAGGCCCAGUGCCCCAGUUUGCUUCCGGCAGGGCGGGUGAUGGCCCCUGCCCCUACAACCUUGAGGAUCACAGACAGCCGUCAGGGCCGUGUAGAGGCGCCUGCGGUAGGAGGCAUGGCUUUUCAGAUGACUACCUUGGUCUCGCAAGCAGCAUCGGACGUUGCAGGUGUGCGACUCCCGUUUUCAGUUCUUUUAUUUAUGCAUGAUUGUAUUGUUAUGGUUCUGCAUCAUUAUCGGUAUGAUUAUUUUAUUUUUGUACGGCUUGAUUAUGUUCUAGUUAUAUGCCAUCUGCAUACCUUGGAUAUUUGAAUGGUAGUUAAGGGAUGGGCUCUAUUGGAGAAGAUUACUUAGGAUGUAGUUGAUGGGUUUUGAGCAUUCUAACACUUCCUAAGUGUACAUGCAACCCUAAUAACCUUGGUUCUAUGUUUGUCUAAUUAUCAUGAAAAGUUGAAUUCCAAGGUUAUAUUCCUAUUUAGCAUACAUGGGGAACAAUUUUUAACUUGAAUGAAAGAUAGAAUAACUUACCUUGUUGUUGCUUAUGUUCCUUGAAACCUUGUGAGCCUAGCACCCCAAGUGUGAUGCCUCAAAUGCUUCACACAACACCAAAUGCUCUUGGAAAGACUUUUGAGAGAAUACACACUUCUUGAAAUCAGCCUAGCCCUCUAGUUUCAUAUGUGUAGCCGAUUUUGGUGGAGAAUGGGAUUCUUAUAUAGUGUUGACACAUCUAGGGUUACACCAUGUAAACCCUAAUGUGUCAUGACUCUUCAUUUCCAUGACCCAUGGGUUUGUAACUCCCAUGGAGCAUCCAUGGAGCAUCCUAUGGGUAGAACCCAACUUGAUAAUCCAUGGAGCCUCUUAGCCCACUAUACAAGAUAUGGAUGAUUUACAUAAUCAACCCAUAUAUUUAAUUAGUUAUCCUUUGAUCACUUAAUUAAUUCCAAAUUAAUUCUUUGAUCAACUAAUUAAAUAAUAUUAUUAAUAUAUUAGAACUUAUAAUAUAUUAAUAAUCUCCAAGUGUUAUUUCUCUCAUUUAGUCUAUCCAAUUGCAUGGUGCCAUGCAACCCAAAUGGACCAUGCCGGGUCGGGUCAAGUACUGACCAGAAAUAGUUAUGGAUUUAGACACCAUAUCCAACAGUCUCCCACUUGGAUAAGUCUAAUAACUAUAACUCCAAUUCUUCAGGAACCGGCCAGCAAUCGUAGCUCUUUCAAGGUAUCUCGUACUGAGAAGAUGUUGAUACGCCAUUUAAGAUAAGUGAUCAUAUAAUCCUCUGUUCUAGAUAUCAGCCGGACAAAUACAUGGAACAAUGUCUUACUUAUUGUCCAGCAGUUUGUUUCCCGAUUUCCGAUUUGUUUGACAAAGAACUUAAUUGAACACAUCAACUUAGUUCUGACCGGGCCCGGUACAUAGGUCAAAACAAAAUCAUCGAGGGGCCCAGAUAUCAGCUUCUAAUCCAAGAAGGAACAGAUAAACUUCGACUCAUAUGUUUGUUCUACCACUCAUUGAAUUACACACAAAAGUACGUUUUAUAACAUCGAGUUACCAAUGCGGUUUCGUACAGUCAAUGCAUAACCAACUUGUAAGUAACAAAUCAUAUCUCUAGGUUUGAAGACUUAUAUGAUAUUACCGUCUCACGAUCACUCGAGAUAGAAUUCCAUGAAGUGAUUCCAGUGAGCGUGGGUUGAGUCCAAUGCUCAGAACUUAUGAGCACUCAUGAUUGUUGUAGCCUUGUCCAACACCUUAGACCUCUACAACCCAUCAUGACAGUCUUGAUUCAUACCUACUUCCGACAUAUGACCGACUGUGGAGGUUUGAAUAAUAUGUUAUACCAAACAAAAUUAUUCUGGAAGUCAAAACAUGCAAAAGAAAUAUAGUAAACGAUCGACAAGAGAUAGCAACACUUUACUCAUAAAUAAAACACCUUUUAUUCAUCAUCUAAUGUCAAUUACACUUUACAAAUUUCUGGGUUAUCUAACUACUAAAACUUAUAUCAUCCUUCAGCCCUAUGCUCCGAGCAUGCUGGAGAUGCUUAACCCUACUCAGUCCCUUCGUGAGGGGAUCUGCUGGGUUCUCAUCCGAUGAUACCCUCUUUGCCACGAGGAGUCCUUCUUCGAUCCGAUGUCUAAUGAAAUGGUAUUUUCUGUCGAUGUGUCUGGAUCUCCCAUGAUCCCUUGGUUCCUUGGCUAAGGCAACAGCACUUUCACUAUCACAGAAAAUUUCCAUUGGCUCUUUAAUAGCUGGUACAACUCCAAGGUCUCCAAUGAAGUUCUUCAGCCAUAUCGCCUCCUUUGCUGCUUCACUAGCUGCAAUAUACUCUGAUUCACAAGUAGAAUCUGCCACUGUCUCUUGCUUGGAACUCUUCCAAGAAAUUGCUCCUCCGUUUAGGGUAAAGACCCAGCCCGACUGAGAGCGGAAAUUAUCCCUAUCAGUCUGGAAGCUAGCAUCACUAUACCCUACAACUCUCAAGUCAUCACUCCCACCGAGGGUAAGGACCCAGUCCUUAGUCCUCCGUAGGUACUUGAGGAUAUUCUUUACCGCAGUCCAGUGUGCCUUGCCAGGGUUCGCCUGAUACCUGCUAACCAUGCUCAAGGCAAAAGCUACAUCGGGUCGAGUACACGUCAUAGCAUACAUGAUCGAUCCUACAGCCGAAGCGUAAGGUGUUCGACUCAUUUCUGCUAUCUCAGCCUCAGUGCUAGGGCUUUGUGUCUUACUCAAUCUGGUGUUACUCUGGAUGGGUAACUCUCCUUUCUUGGAAUCCUGCAUGCUGAAUCUCUUCAGCACCUUAUCCAAGUAGGUACUCUGACUAAGUCCAAUUAGUCUUUUACUCCGAUCUCUCAAGAUUCUUAUCCCUAGAAUAUAGGCAGCUUCACCAAGGUCCUUCAUAGCGAAACACUUCCCAAGCCAGGACUUUACUUCCUGCAGGGUUGGAAUGUCGUUUCCUAUGAGUAGUAUGUCAUCCACAUACAAUACCAAAAAGCUAACUAUACUCCCACUAGCCUUGACAUACACACAAGAUUCAUCUUCACUCCUAGAAAAGCCAAAUUCCUUGACCUUUUCAUCAAAGCAAAGAUUCCAUCUGCGAGGUGCUUGCUUCAAUCCAUAAAUGGAUUUCUCAAGCUUACACACUCUAUUAGGGUACUCGUUGCUGACAAAACCCUCUGGCUGACUCAUGUAAACAUCUUCAGCCAACUUUCCAUUAAGGAAAGCGGUUUUGACAUCCAUCUGCCAUAUUUCAUAGUCAUGAAAUGCAGCUAUGGCUAACAGAACCCGAAUAGACUUAAUCUUGGCUACCGGAGAAAAGGUCUCAUCAUAAUCCACUCCAGGAAUUUGAGAGAAGCCCUUUGCAACCAGUCUAGCCUUAUAAGUGUGUACUUUACCAUCCAUGUCGGUCUUCUUCUUGAAGACCCAUUUGCACCCUACUGUCUUACGACCUGGUACAUUUUCAACCAAGUUCCAAACUUGAUUGUCAUACAUGGAUUGUAUCUCGCUAUCCAUAGCCUCUUUCCAUUUAGCAGACUCGGGGCCUGCCAUGGCUUCCUCGUAGCUGUUAGGGUCAUCUUGACUUACUAGUGUCUCAUCACUAAUAAGUGUCUCACCUUCUGCAGUAAUAUGGAAUCCAUAGUAAUGCUCAGGUGCACUCCUAACUCUCGUGGAACGUCUCAGAGGUACAGAUUUGUCAAUUGGCUCAACAGGAGUUUCCUCCUCAAGUUGAGGGCUAGAGUUUGAAGUUCCUUCACCGCUUGAUUCUUGAAUUUCUUCAAGAUCAAUUUGCCUCCCACUGUCUCCUUGGCUUAUAAACUCUCUUUCUCGAAAGACUCCUCUUCUUGCUACAAAGACCACAUUGUCACUAGGUCUGUAGAAGAGGUAACCAAAGGAUCGCUGUGGGUAACCGAUGAAAAUACACCUCUCGCUUCGAGGUUCGAGCUUAUCAUGAGUCUCGCGUCUCACGAAAGCCUCGCAACCCCAAAUCUUGAUGUGGUCUAGUUUAGGUACUUUACCAGUCCACAUCUCGUGAGGAGUUUUGGCAACUUUCUUUGUAGGGACUAGAUUAAGAAUAUGGGCGGCAGUCUCUAAGGCAUACCCCCAGAAUGAGAUUGGUAGCGUAGCUCGACUCAUCAUGGAACGAACCAUAUCUAACAAGGUUCGAUUACGCCUCUCAGCCACACCAUUCAACUGUGGUGUCCUGGGAGGUGUCAAUUGUGAGACUAUCCCACAUUCCCUUAGAUAGUCGAGGAACUCUGAACUAAGAUACUCACCACCACGAUCGGAUCGAAGCAUCUUAAUGUUCCUGCCCAAUUGAUUCUCGACUUCCUGUUUAAAUUCCUUAAACCUCUCGAAAGUCUCUGACUUAUGCUUGAUCAAGUAGACAUAUCCAUAUCUACUAUAAUCAUCAGUAAAAGUCAAAUAAUAACGAUUAGCAUCCCUUGUGGCAUGUUUGAAUGGUCCACACACAUCCGUGUGUAUAAGGUCCAACAAACCUUCACCCCUCUCACACGAACCUGUGAAGGGUGACUUUGUCAUUUUUCCAAGUAAGCAUGAUUCGCAACUAUCAUCUGACUUUAGGUCAAACGACUCCAAGACUCCAUCCUUUUGGAGUUGGCCUAUGCGUUUCUUGCUUAUAUGUCCAAGACGACAAUGCCAUAAAGAUGCUUUAUCCAAGUUAUUAUUAGUAGAAUCAAUACACAAAACAUUAUUUCCCAAGUUAUCUACAACAGAUACAGCUUCAUACACACCAUCACAAGGUAAUGCUUUAAAAUAAAAGACAUUAUUAUAGAAAACAUCUAUAGAACCAACUUCAUUAUUAAAUGAAAAGGUAAACCCUUGUUUGUACAAAGCAUGAAAGGAAAUAAUAUUUCUUGCCAUUCCUGGCGAAUAACAACACUUAUUCAAAUCUAAACUAAACCCACUACUUAGCGAUAAAGUAUAAACUCCAAUCUUGGUAACAGGUAUAGCUUUCCUAUUCCCCAUGAUCAAGUUUAUCCUUCCUUGCUCCACAUCCUCACUUCUUCUUAGUCCCUGCAAGUCACAACAAAUGUGAAUACCACACCCGGUAUCAAGGACCCAAGAAUUAGAAUGGGGUGAGUUAUUAGAAAUGAUAGUGUAAAUACCUGCAUGGUUGGGUUUAACUUUCCCAUCCUUCACAUCUUGCUGGUAUUUUGGGCAGUUCCGCUUCCAAUGAGCUUUUUCAUGGCAAUAGAAGCAUUCAGCCUCUUUUGGGUCAGAAGAAGGAGUAACGAAACCUUUCUUGGUUCCACUUGAAGAAGAGCCAUCAAGGGUCCGAGCCUUGGUACCCUUAGAAGAGCUCUUUCUCUUCCUCCCUCGACUUUUCCCGAUUGCCAAAACCGGAGUAGAGUUUUGAGUAGGAGUGAUAGCAACCGACUUCCCCUUAAGACCUGUUUCUGCGGUCUUGAGAAGUCCCUGAAGUUUGCUGAGGGUGACUUCUUCCUUGUUCAUGUGAUAUGUCAUGCGGAAUUGAUCAUAGCACGAUGGUAAGGAAUGCAAAAUAAUAUCUAUUGCAAGAUCCUCCGGGAAGUUCACAUUAAGCUUCAGCAAACGAUCCACAUACCUUUGCAUUUUCUGCAUGUGGCUCGUGACGGAUUCCCCGUCCUUCAUCAUGGUUGUUAUCAUGGAGCAGAUGAUUUCAUACCUCUCUUGUCUUGCACUUUGAUGGUAUCUUUCCAUCAAAUCUUGGUGCAUGUCAUAAGGGUAGAAAUCCUCAUAAGACUUUUGGAGUUCCGCUGUCAUCGUGGCCAUCAUGAUGCAAGCCACUUUCGUAGCAUCCCUUUCAUGUGCCCGAAAUUCAGCGAUCUCCUGAGGAGUUGCAGUGGACUCAUCAAUCUCCUUAAGCUCCUUGUCAAGGACAUAUUCUUUGUCCUCGUAGCGGGUAAUCAUCCUGAUGUUUCUGAUCCACUCAUUGAAGUUGGAUCCAUCAAAGGUGACUUUCCCACACAAGUUCAUAAGGGUAAAGGAGCCAUUAGGAUUAGAGCCAGAAGCAUUGUUGAAAGACAUCUGAAGGAAAGAGGACAAGAUUAGUUUAGAUAUAAGAGAGUCCUUAAUAAAACACCCAAAUGUAAUAUUAAGGCUAGGA
rnacentral:lncRNA from 1 species